GCCUACGGGACGCAGCAGUGAGGAAUAUUGGUCAAUGGCCGAGAGGCUGAACCAGCCAAGUCGCGUGAGGGAUGACGGCCCUACGGGUUGUAAACCUCUUUUGUCGGGGAGCAAGACCCGCCACGAGUGGCGGAGCGAGAGUACCCGAAGAAAAAGCAUCGGCUAACUCCGUGCCAGCAGCCGCGGUAAUACGUAGGUGGCAAGCGUUGUCCGGAUUUAUUGGGCGUAAAGCGAGUGCAGGCGGUUCAAUAAGUCUGAUGUGAA
rnacentral:rRNA from 1 species